GGCGAGCCGGUGAGGCCGCCGCCCGUCCACGGCGACCGCUGCUCUUCACCGUACAUCGUCUGGGUCUCUGGAUCCGGCGACGGAGGCCUCCAUCCGCCAUCUGAACGCGCGCAUCGGAGCUGGGGACAAAAGCGACGGCGGAAUCGGUGCGGCUGACGUCGCGGUUCCGCCGGGUUGGCUCCUGCAGCGUCAGCGCCAAGCUGCGGACGGAGAGCCACCAGGAGGACGCCGUCGAGCUCGGCAAAUUUGCUCGCCGCUUCGCCACGACCUAGUGUGUCGAGCUACUAGUCUGCUGCCGGUGACCUUCACAGUAAGCUGCUGCUGGUUCAAAGCUUUUAGAGGAGGAGAUGAACAGGGUGCUGGGAGGCGGCGUUGGAGGUGCGGUGGCAAACGUCAUAUGCAGAAUUGCAGCGGGGAGGCCCUCAGGCGGCUUGGCUGCGAAUUGACUAUUUGUUCUUCAGAUGUAGUGCUCGAAUUUGUUCUAGAUUAAAUGCAUGAGUUGGUUCAGAUUAGUUGGACAGUAAGAUGAAGUCAAUAUCUCCUUUGAUGAAGUCUUAUUUUUUUGCUGAUGCAUGGUAGUUCCUUAAUUGGUCACUGUUUAUUAGAAAAUCUGUUGUUGUUGAUUUUGACUGAGCUGUGUCUAUUUCUCACUCAAUGAGACCUUGAGUCACUUCCUUAUGAUGAGUGGCUUGAUUCCUUGUAUGUUCUGACAGAAUACUAUUGCUGCAUGCAGUAUUUGGCUCUCCAAUCCUGCUCCUUUGGCUUCGACAACUAACCUCCGACAGUGGCGGUCUGUUCUUGGUCUCCACUAUUUAGGUGAGAUUCAGUCCUAUCCAUGGUUGUGCUGGGCUCUGGCCAGCGAGCUGACGAGCUGUUCCUUAAGCCUUUAGUGGUGGUGGUAUGAUUUGCUCAUUGGUUGAUCUCACUUUCCUGUUGGUAUCGAUCUCGUCGAGCCUAUUGCCCUGGCAUAUCUAGCUAUGUCAGUUUGCUUAAUCUAGUGAUGUCUGUAGGUACUUUGUAUUGGAAUUGGGCUCUGUGCAGCCACACCAAACUAGCUCGUUUUGUUUUUGUGGCUAUAUUUUGCUUCUGCUGGUAUGGAGGAUAUCAUGCAGAUUGUGCUCUUUGGAUUGGUAAAAACAUAUUGCUUGUAGCCUGCUGAAUAGGACCUAUUGUACAUGCUCUUAGGUAGUACUGGUGCCCAAGUGAUUUUUGUUGCUGCUGGGUAGUAAUGGAUGAUUGAAGAGAGUGUGUUUUCCUUUGUGAACGGCCAGCCUGUAGAACCACGUAUAGCUGCUUCUUGUAAUUGUUUUGCAGUAUCCUUGUUGCAAACAGACAAGUUGAAGUGUGCAUUGUGUAUUAGUGUGCUGUUAUUUUGGAAACAUCUGUAUUUGUUUUGCGUAC